rnacentral:lncRNA from 1 species
GGGGGGUAGCUUCCAACCAUAUACCGCUUCAUUGUUAUCUGUGAAACUUCGUGAACACAUAUACAGUAUUAAAAAGUCAUUUUUUUAUUCGUCUGAAGAUCAACUUGAUUGAUCGAGUUUCAUGUGUCUAAAAUUUAAAAAUAACAGUCCCAAAUGAAUAGAAUUGAUUGUCGAUGCUUAAUAUCCAGUGGCAAAUAUAUCAAGGAC